AAGAAACUGCUCAACGCUUUAACUUUCUUGGGUGAAGGGAUCAUUCACCUUUUUUUUUGUGUGUACUGUGUCUGUGUACUCUUUUCUCGCUGCUUCGCUCAAAGAACUGUUCGUCUUUGCUCUCUCCCGUGAUUUUGUAACAUACAUGGCAACCACAUCUAAGGCGAUGACUGAUGUAAGCAAUUAUAACAAUCGAUACCAACCAUCGAUUGAAGAGAAAAUGGCCAUUGUUGUUAAGCGAGUGGGGGAAGUUCCAAGGAUGGUUCGUAAGAGCCCCCUUUACUGGGAAUCUAUAGUACACCUCGCAAAAUACGAGGUUUCACGAGGCAUAUUCUAUGCCCUCCCACCUGAAUGUAAGCUACAUUAUCUUAAACGAAAGACAAAGGCCUCUAAUGAGCAAGAAACGGAACCCACCUAUUAUUCCUAAUCUCGUUCCUAUGAUUGGUGAAGUUAUGUUUUUAUGUUCAUGAAUCAUGAUGGUUUAUUUUGUUGUGCCUGACAUGAGUCUGAUAUCGCUGUGGAAUUCGUUUCAUGUUCAUUGUGUUUAAUUUUGUUAUGCUUGAAUUUAAUGUUGUGUGGAUUAUUUAUGAACUUGGGUUUGGUUUUGUCGAGACACUUUAUGCAAUAUGAAAUGUUAGUGUGAUUUCCAUA